AAGAAAAGAAACGAAAAGAAAAAAAAAAUGGCAAGAAAAAAAGAAAAAGAGUGGCCUUUUUUUUCUUUUCUUUGCUUUUUUUUU
rnacentral:ribozyme from 1 species